rnacentral:rRNA from 1 species
AACGCUAGCUACAGGCUUAACACAUGCAAGUCGAGGGGAAACGAUAUUGGAAGCUUGCUUCCGAUAGGCGUCGACCGGCGCACGGGUGAGUAACGCGUAUCCAACCUGCCCAUCACUUGGGGAUAACCUUGCGAAAGUAAGACUAAUACCCAAUGACGUCUCUAGAAGACAUCUGAAAGGGAUUAAAGAUUUAUCGGUGAUGGAUGGGGAUGCGUCUGAUUAGCUUGUUGGCGGGGUAACGGCCCACCAAGGCGACGAUCAGUAGGGGUUCUGAGAGGAAGGUCCCCCACAUUGGAACUGAGACACGGUCCAAACUCUUACGGGAGGCAGCAGUGAGGAAUAUUGGUCAAUGGACGAGAGUCUGAACCAGCCAAGUAGCGUGCAGGAAGACGGCCCUAUGGGUUGUAAACUGCUUUUAUAAGGGAAUAAAGUGAGUCUCGUGAGACUUUUUGCAUGUACCUUAUGAAUAAGGACCGGCUAAUUCCGUGCCAGCAGCCGCGGUAAUACGGAAGGUCCAGGCGUUAUCCGGAUUUAUUGGGUUUAAAGGGAGCGUAGGCCGGAGAUUAAGCGUGUUGUGAAAUGUAGAUGCUCAACAUCUGAACUGCAGCGCGAACUGGUUUCCUUGAGUACGCACAAAGUGGGCGGAAUUCGUGGUGUAGCGGUGAAAUGCUUAGAUAUCACGAAGAACUCCGAUUG